UACAGAGGGUGCGAGCGUUAAUCGGAUUUACUGGGCGUAAAGGGUGCGCAGGUGGGUUGGCAAGUUCGAUGUGAAAGCCCCGGGCUUAACCCGGGAAUGGCAUUGGAAACUGCUGAUCUGGAGGGUCGGAGGGGGGACUGGAAUUCUUGGUGUAGCAGUGAAAUGCGUAGAUAUCAAGAGGAACACCAGUGGCGAAGGCGAGUCCCUGGACGAUACCUGACACUGAGGCACGAAAGCCAAGGGAGCAAACAGG
rnacentral:rRNA from 1 species